GCUACAGAGCUGUUAGUUAGCAAUAAACAAUGUCUCUUUCCCCACAAUGGCAAAAUAAACUCCUAGGCAUAUUAAUGAUGUAUCUUCUCUUAUUAUACCAUCCUUCAAUCUCUAUCUUAAUGUUAUUGAGCUUCUUCUAAUACUAAUCAUAAUCCAUCACAGCUUUUAUGCUCCUAGAUACUCUCACUCUGCUUCAUAUAAAUGUUGUGGAUCCAUCAAACCUACAACAACUCCUUAUUAAUUACUAACUUCCAUGUCAACUUUCCCACUGCAUCCAAGUUUAAUAAUUGCAGCUCCUAAUGUUAAGUCCUCCAUACACCUUUGCCCUACAUACUUUGUCCUAUGCUACCAGUGAUAUCUUUUUAGCAUCUUCAAUAAUUACCCACAAGAAAAACAUAAAUAUUUUAUCCACCCCCUUCAAAACACUAUAUAGCCAAAUGAAUAUAUACCCGUAAAUGUUGUGUAGUAAAAAUAAAGAAACAUUUAUAGCAUGGAGACGACCUGCCACUACCUGAAGUUUCCCCUAUUGCAAUGAACUUUUAGGCGACGGUGCCAAAAGUGUUGCAAUAGAGGGUCUAUUGCAACGGUUUCAACUGUUGCAUAAAAAAAUUAUUCUAGUACACCCAUUAGAUGAUAUAAGCAUUGCUGUUGUUUGAUAACCAUUGAAAUAGAGUGUUUUAUUGCAACGGCUGCCUGUACCGUUGCCAUAGAAUGAGCUAUGACAUGGCUUUAUUACAAAUAGGAAGCUAUUACAUUGGUUUGCUUUUUCCCACCAUAAAAUUUCACUACAAAACCAUCAAAAAUAAACCCUUUUACAUAUAAAUCACACUAAGUCUUAAACCAAAAAUAAAUAAAUUUCACCAGAUCUGAUCAGCCACUACUAUGACUACCAUACUCCAACUACCAUAUCACUCUCCAGCCUCCAUACUGUGACCAUCAUACCACAGGUCUAACCACAGUAUCACUACUCCGACAACCAGACCUUAAUUUCAAAUCUGCUCCGACCAUCUCUUCAUGAAUCCGAAGAGUGUGACCAUUGUAGCUCGAUUUUGAAGCUACUCUGACUUCAGCUCCUCCACUUCUGAACAAAACAUCUGUGUCUAAGCUUUGACUCAAUGUUCAGUAAAUCACUGUAGAAGACUGCUGAAUCAUUUAUGUUGUCACGACAAGGGAUCCAUAUAGAACCUAGCCAAUGGUCAUGGUGCCAUUUAGGUAUGAAUUAUUUUUUACGAAGCUGCUAUCACUGGUGGAAUCAUGGGAGAUACCGAUGACUAGGACAGAUGAUGCUGUUGAAAGAAUCUUGAGAGUUAAAUUUGUUAUUUGAAAAUCCGUUUACAGAUAGAUCAUUGAUAGACUUUGUUGGUUGCAAGGUUUACAAGUGUAUGCAUAUACAGUGCUAGUGUGUGCCUGCAUCAUUUGAUAUGGACAGGGUAGUGGAAGACACAGGACUUUAGGCAUCAGUUCCAGCUAAGCUUUUCAGCCUUUAUCGGUUGCAGACAGUAGAAUGGACAGCUACAUGGACAGGACUCAGUGGGAGAAUCACAGUUGGGUUCGAUUAUUUUAGAUGUAAUGAUUCACAGAGAUUGUAAUUACGGGUUGUGCUGGCAGGUUACUGAACUUAAAGCUGAAAGGCUUGUAGAAAUAGCUCCUCACUACUAUCAGUUUAAAGAUGUCGGAGACAGUAAGUUCUCUUACUGUCUUUUAUUGCAGCAAUGGCUGCCUUAUUGGUGCCUCACGGCACAUUACUAAGAGUAGUCCCCCAUCUCGUCCCUCAUGAGUGACGUGAAAUCCCACUUGGACGUUGCGUUUAAUCAAAGGACUAGCGGUACUCAUUAUUAUUUUCAACAAAAUAUUUGUUGUUUACAGUUUCCUAGUUUGAGUUAUUUGCUCUUUCUUUCUUUUGUUGGAGGCUUUCAAGAGUGCGCUAAAAUCCUUUAGGAGUAACAUCAUAUUCUCAAAUGGCCUGCUAGAUCCAUGGAGUGGUGGCAGCGUCCUGAAGAAUGUGCCAGAAACUAUAGUUGCUCUUAUAACUGAGAAAGGUGUGCAAAAUGAAGAAAGAGAUGAAGAAAAUGAUGAAGACAUUGACCUUACUUAGAAGAUUUUUGGGUUGUGGUUAAAUGCUCUAAUAUCAAUAGUUUUGUGUUGAAUUUUUUGAAACUUAUCGUGACUUGAACUUGCUAGUAUGUAAAAACUUAACUAAUCAUUUGGACUUGAUACAUUUUACUUUGGGAUUUAAAUUA